GUAGGUGGCAAGCGUUGUCCGGAAUUAUUGGGCGUAAAGCGCGCGCAGGCGGUCCUUUAAGUCUGAUGUGAAAGCCCACGGCUCAACCGUGGAGGGUCAUUGGAAACUGGGGGACUUGAGUACAGAAGAGGAAAGCGGAAUUCCAAGUGUAGCGGUGAAAUGCGUAGAGAUUUGGAGGAACACCAGUGGCGAAGGCGGCUUUCUGGUCUGUAACUGACGCUGAGGCGCGAAAGCGUGGGGAGCAAACAGGAUUAGAUACCCUGGUAGUCCACGCCGUAAACGAUGAGUGCUAAGUGUUAGGGGGUUUCCCGCCCCCCUUAGUGCUGCAGCUGACGCAUUAAGCACUCCGCCUGGGGAGUACGGCCGCAAGGCUG
rnacentral:rRNA from 1 species